UACGAAGGGAGCUAGCGUUGUUCGGAAUCACUGGGCGUAAAGCGCACGUAGGCGGAUGUGUCAGUCAGAGGUGAAAUCCCGGAGCUCAACUUCGGAACUGCCUUUGAUACAGCACGUCUUGAGUCCGAUAGAGGUGGGUGGAAUUCCUAGUGUAGAGGUGAAAUUCGUAGAUAUUAGGAAGAACACCGGUGGCGAAGGCGGCCCACUGGAUCGGUACUGACGCUGAGGUGCGAAAGCGUGGGGAGCAAACAGG
rnacentral:rRNA from 1 species